AGAGUUUGAUCAUGGCUCAGGAUUAACGCUGGCGGUAUGCCUAAUACAUGCAAGUCGAACGAAAAUCUUCGGAUUUUAGUGGCGAACGGGUGAGUAACGUAUGUUUAAUCUACCUUGUAGUUUGGAAUAACCAUUGGAAACGAUGGCUAAUACUGAAUACUAUUUAUAAUGGAAUCUUUAUAAAUUAAAAGGGGCGUUUGCCCCGCUAUAAGAUGAGAACAUAUUACAUUAGCUAGUUGGUAGGGUAAAGGCCUACCAAGGCAAUGAUGUAUAGCCGAGCCGAGAGGUUGAUCGGCCACAAUGGGACUGAGACACGGCCCAUACUCCUACGGGAGGCAGCAGUAGGGAAUUUUUCACAAUGGACGAAAGUCUGAUGAAGCAACACCGCGUGAGGGAAGACGGUUUUAGGACUGUAAACCUCUGUUAUAAGGGAAGAAUAUGUCGGAGAGGAAAUGCUCCGUGCAGUGACGGUACUUUAUUAGAAAGUCACGGCUAACUAUGUGCCAGCAGCCGCGGUAAUACAUAGGUGGCAAGCGUUAUCCGGAUUUAUUGGGCGUAAAGAGUGCACAGGUGGUUAUAUAAGUUUGAUGUUAAAGACCGAAGCUCAACUUCGGUUCGCACUGAAAACUGUAUAACUAGAAUGCAGGUGGGAAUAGUGGAAUUCGAUGUGUAGCGGUGGAAUGCAUAAAUAUAUCGAGGAACACCAGUGGCGAAGGCGGCUAUUUGAACUGUAAUUGACACUUAAGCACGAAAGCGUGGGGAGCAAAUAGGAUUAGAUACCCUAGUAGUCCACGCCGUAAACGAUCUAGAUUAGAUGUCGGAAUUAUUCGGUAUCGCAGCUAACGCAUUAAAUCUAGCGCCUGGGUAGUACGCACGCAAGUGUAAAA
rnacentral:rRNA from 1 species